rnacentral:lncRNA from 1 species
GAUCUAUGAUGAUAUAAUUUAUCUAUGUGAUAUUAUAGGAUUUGUUUUUAAGAUGACGGAAUAUUUAACUUGAUGACAUAAAUAGAACGAGUUAUGAUUAAUGCGCAUGUUGAUGUUCGAAUAAAUAGUUUCGAACCUAAAUGUUAGUUAUGUGAUAAAUGUUUUGAGUUUAAGGUUUUGAUAAGACAAGAUUAAUAUGGAUGCUAGAACCCUAAAAUCAUUAAAAAGGAGAUAGUUUAGUUUAGAGACCUAUCUUCCUUUCUUACACGACUUUCUUCUCGAACUUAUCGACUCUUCGUCAAUAAAGGUCCAGACGGGAAGUGAAAGCUAAAGAAGGAGGUAACUCUACGCCCCUAGUGGGAACGGAAUGAGGUGGGCUUUCUUAAAACACGUAUAUAGAGAUCCCCUGGAUACAGGCCUCUUAUACGAAAUGAAAUGAAUGACAUGAUAUAACUGUGAUAUUUCAAAUGAUAAAUGGUUCUUAUGAAAUGAAAUGUUUAUGGAAAUGAUUAAUUGAUGAAUGGUUCUUAUGAAAGGAAAGGAAAUGUUUAUGAAAUGAUUGUCUGCCAAAAAUGUUUAUGUUUUAUGUAUGUAUCCUAUCUGUGUUGGUUCGCCAACUAUAAAGGAAAUCGAAUUCGGACCCUACGCUAGACGAAGGUUUGCUAGUAAGGGUUAACGUGUACACCCAUGGAGACUGUGUGUCGCUUGCGACCGGUCUUAGCGUCCGUGGAAGGAGGCCUCUUCCGGCGCGUAAAGGAACAGAUAUGGAUCAUAUAGACCGAAAAUGGGAUGCGCAUCCAACUUUAUGAAAUGAAAGAAAAUGUUUAGUAAGCACAGGUCCUUCAAGUAAAACCCUGUGUGUUACUGUUGGCAGUACAAUAAAUGAUAUAAAAUGUUAUAUUUCCGGCAUAUGUUCACUGAGUAUUUUUACUCAGCCCUGCAUGUUGUUUUCCCUAAUGUGCAGAUUGAGCGGGUGAUGGAAUGGAGUGGAGUUGAGCGGAUGUACCCUUGUGACGUAAAACAAUAAUGUAACCUUGAGUAUACAUCUUCAUAUGUAUAACUCACACGUAUUUCCGCUGCAAGAUACUCUGAUUAUGCUAAUGUUUUGUUUUA